GACGAACGCUGGCGGCGUGCUUAACACAUGCAAGUCGAACGAGGUCCAUCCGGUGGCAACACUGAGAAGACCUAGUGGCGAACGGGUGAGUAACACGUGAGGAACCUGCCCCGAAGACCGGGAUAACAGCGGGAAACCACUGCUAAUACCGGAUACCCCCAUCGGGCCUCAUGGCCUGAUGGGGAAAUGGAUUCCGCUUCGGGAGGGCCUCGCGGCCUAUCAGCUUGUUGGUGAGGUGACGGCUCACCAAGGCGACGACGGGUAGCUGGUCUGAGAGGACGAUCAGCCACACUGGGACUGAGACACGGCCCAGACUCCUACGGGAGGCAGCAGUGGGGAAUCUUGCGCAAUGGGCGAAAGCCUGACGCAGCAACGCCGCGUGAGGGAUGAAGGCCUUCGGGUUGUAAACCUCUUUCGAGCAGGGACGAUAAUGACGGUACCUGCAGAAGAAGCUCCGGCCAACUACGUGCCAGCCGCCGCUGUAAGAC
rnacentral:rRNA from 1 species